rnacentral:lncRNA from 1 species
GAACGUGGCAGUGGUCGGGGUGGUGGUCGACGUGGCCGGCGGCAGGACCGUGGUCGCGGUCAACCUUCGCAGUCUUCCUCUCGCGGCGGCGGCGGUAGAGCAAGAGGCCGUGGAUCAGCUGGUUCUACUGCAACUUAUAACCCCCCUCCUCCUCAGAUGGCUCCGGCUCAGCCACCUCCUCAAAUGGCUUUAGCUCCGCCAGUUCCUCCAUCGGGGGCCCCUUUUUCUCAUCCUUCUUCAAGUUCUGGUGUAGGAUCACUUUCCAGAGAGGUAUCGGAGAAGCUUACAAUGGAGCCGGUGGCUGUGAC